rnacentral:rRNA from 1 species
AAUGAACGUUAGCGAGAUGUCUUAAGCAUGCAAGUCGAGCGAGAAGCGGUACUUGUACCGCCUAAAGCGGCAAACGGGUGAGUAAUAGCUAGCUAAUCUACCUCUUAGACAGGGAUAGCCAUGGUAAUCAUGAUUAAUACCUGAUAUGAAAAUUCCCUUCAUGGGGGGUUUUUGAAAGGCGCGUUGGUGCCACUAAGAGAUGAGGCUUGCACUUAUUAGCUUGUUGGUGAGGUAAUAGCUCACCAAGGCUUCGAUAGGUAGCCGGCCUGAGAGGGUGUACGGCCACAUUGGGACUGAGAUACGGCCCAGACUCCUACGGGAGGCAGCAGCUAAGAAUUUUUCGCAAUGGAGGAAACUCUGACGGAGCAAUCUCGCGUGAGUGAUGAAGGCCUUCGGGCUGUAAAACUCUUUGAGUGGGAAGGAAUAAUCGGCUAAGAAAUGAGCCGCCUAUGACAGUACCCACAGAAAAGUCCUGGCUAACUACGUGCC